UCGUGGAGUAUAGGAGAAUCC
rnacentral:miRNA from 1 species